rnacentral:rRNA from 1 species
GCAGUUAAAAAGCUCGUAGUUGGAUCUCGGUGAUACUGAAGCCAACCGCUGCUUAGUUGGUUGAGUCUGGCUGCACCUAGCGUGUACGUCGGAUUUGCCGGCUGUGUUAGUGGUGUGGAAGCGGUGUUACCUUUCAGCCAUGUCUGUGGUGCAAUACCCACAGGUGUAAGCAAGUGUCAGGCGGUGCUGUGCUUUCGGUAUGGUCCGUCGGCUCGUUUGCAUGCCUGCGGAUGCCCUUCAAAAGGUGUCUGUUGGCGGAUGGCACGUUUACUUUGAACAAAUUUGAGUGCUCAAACCAGGCCAAUGUUGCCUGAAAAGUUUUGCAUGGAAUAAUGGAAUAGGACUUCGGUUCUAUUUUGUUGGUUUUCGGAUCCGAAGUAAUGAUCAAAAGAGACAGGCGGGGACGUUUGUAUGGUUGCGCUAGAGGUGAAAUUCAUGGACCGUAGCCAGACAAACUAAAGCGAAAGCAUUCGUCAAGCAUGUUUUCAUUGACCAUGAGCGAAAGUCAGAGGCUCGAAGACGAUCAGAUACCGUCCUAGUUCUGACCAUAAACGAUGCCAACUGACGAUCCGUGGUGGUAGUAAAUUAACCUUCCCCACGGGCAGUCACCGGGAAACCUUUAAGUCUUUGGGUUCCGGGGGAAGUAUGGUUGCAAAGCUGAAACUUAAAGGAAUUGACGGAAGGGCACCACCAGGAGUGGAGCCUGCGGCUUAAUUUGACUCAACACGGGAAAACUCACCCGGGCCGGACACUGUAAGGAUUGACAGAUUGAUAGCUCUUUCUUGAUUCGGUGGUUGGUGGUGCAUGGCCGUUCUUAGUUGGUGGAGCGAUUUAUCUGGUUAAUUCCGAUAACGAACGAGACUCUAGCCUGCUAAUUAGUGCACUUGUCCACUGUUCCUGUGUAAGUGGCGUUUCGGCGAUGUUGCCCAUGUUAUCUGCUGCAGUUGUUCGCCUGUGUCCUCGGAUGCGGGUGGCGGCUGUAGUGGUUUGGGCGGCGGGUUCGGCGUUUGCUUCCGGGUACGG